rnacentral:rRNA from 1 species
AUUGAACGCUGGCGGCAUGCCUAACACAUGCAAGUCGAACGGAAACGAUGGGAGCUUGCUCCCAGGCGUCGAGUGGCGGACGGGUGAGUAAUACUUAGGAAUCUGCCCAGUAGUGGGGGACAACUCGGGGAAACUCGAGCUAAUACCGCAUACGACCUACGGGUGAAAGUGGAGGACCUUCGGGCUUCACGCUAUUGGAUGAGCCUAAGUCGGAUUAGCUUGUUGGUGGGGUAACGGCCUACCAAGGCGACGAUCCGUAGCUGGUCUGAGAGGACGACCAGCCACACUGGGACUGAGACACGGCCCAGACUCCUACGGGAGGCAGCAGUGGGGAAUAUUGGACAAUGGGGGCAACCCUGAUCCAGCAAUGCCGCGUGUGUGAAGAAGGCCUGCGGGUUGUAAAGCACUUUCAGUAGAGAAGAAAAGCUUACGGUUAAUACCCGUGAGUCUUGACGUAACCUACAGAAGAAGCACCGGCUAACUCCGUG